rnacentral:sRNA from 1 species
UCCUAGCCCCGAUUGAAGCGAAAAUCCUUUUUUGAAAAAAAAGAUUGCAGCGGAAAGCGGGAAAAAGC